CAGUCGCCGCGGUAAUACGAAGGGGGCAAGCGUUGUUCGGAAUUACUGGGCGUAAAGGGCGCGUAGGCGGAUCUUUAAGUCAGGGGUGAAAUCCCGAGGCUCAACCUCGGAACUGCCUUUGAUACUGGAGAUCUUGAGUCCGGGAGAGGUGAGUGGAACUGCGAGUGUAGAGGUGAAAUUCGUAGAUAUUCGCAAGAACACCAGUGGCGAAGGCGGCUCACUGGCCCGGUACUGACGCUGAGGCGCGAAAGCGUGGGGAGCAAACAGGAUUAGAUACCCCUGUAGUCCCUGUCUCUUAUAC
rnacentral:rRNA from 1 species